GUUGAACGCUGGCGGCAUGCCUUACACAUGCAAGUCGAGCGGCAGCGCGGGGGCAACCCUGGCGGCGAGCGGCGAACGGGUGAGUAAUGCAUCGGAACGUGUCCUCUUGUGGGGGAUAACCAGUCGAAAGAUUGGCUAAUUCCGCAUGAGAUCGCGAGAUGAAAGCAGGGGACCGCAAGGCCCUGCGCGAGAGGAGCGGCCGAUGCCGGAUUAGCUAGUUGGUGGGGUAAAAGCCCACCAAGGCGACGAUCCGUAGCUGGUCUGAGAGGACGACCAGCCACACUGGGACUGAGACACGGCCCAGACUCCUACGGGAGGCAGCAGUGGGGAAUUUUGGACAAUGGGCGCAAGCUUGAUCCAGCCAUGCCGCGUGUGUGAAGAAGGCCUUCGGGUUGUAAAGCACUUUCGGACGGAACGAAAUCGCGCGGGUGAAUAUCCCGCGUGGAUGACGGUACCGUAAGAAGAAGCACCGGCUAACUACGUGC
rnacentral:rRNA from 1 species